rnacentral:rRNA from 1 species
UUCGGUAGGGGUAGCAGGAAUUCCCAGUGUAGCGGUGAAAUGCGUAGAUAUUGGGAAGAACAUCGGUGGCGAAGGCGUGCUACUGGACCGUAACUGACACUCAGGGACGAAAGCUAGGGGAGCGAAAGGGAUUAGAUACCCCUGUAGUCCUAGCUGUAAACGAUGGAAACUAGGUGUGGCUUGUAUCGACCCGAGCCGUGCCGUAGCUAACGCGUUAAGUUUCCCGCCUGGGGAGUACGCACGCAAGUGUGAAACUCAAAGGAAUUGACGGGGGCCCGCACAAGCGGUGGAGUAUGUGGUUUAAUUCGAUGCAACGCGAAGAACCUUACCAGGGCUUGACAUGUCGCGAAUCUCGGUGAAAGCUGAGAGUGCCUUCGGGAGCGCGAACACAGGUGGUGCAUGGCUGUCGUCAGCUCGUGUCGUGAGAUGUUGGGUUAAGUCCCGCAACGAGCGCAACCCUUAUUUUUAGUUGCCAGCAUUAAGAUGGGCACUCUAGAAAGACUGCCGGUGACAAACCGGAGGAAGGUGAGGACGACGUCAAGUCAGCAUGCCCCUUACGCCCUGGGCUACACACGUACUACAAUGGUUGGGACAAAGGGCAGCGACUCCGCAAGGAAUAGCGAAUCUCAUCAAACCCAGCCUCAGUUCAGAUUGCAGGCUGCAACUCGCCUGCAUGAAGGAGGAAUCGCUAGUAAUCGCAGGUCAGCAUACUGCGGUGAAUUCGUUCCCGGGCCUUGUACACACCGCCCGUCACACCAUGGAAGCUGGUCACGCCCGAAGUAGUUACCCUAACCUUUCGAGGAGGGGGAUUCCUAAGGCAGGGCUAGUGACUGGGGUGAAGUCGUAACAAGGUAGCC